AUGCUAGCAAGAUGGGCAGCAUAUCUGGAGAGGUUUAACUAUCUCAUCGUGCAUAAAUCUGGAAUAACUAACAGAGUGGCCGAUGCUUUCAGUCGUCGUGCAUGCCUCUUGACUUCUUUUGAAGCUAAACUUCCGGGCAUGGAUCGAAUAAAGGAGCUGUAUGAGGGUGACGAAGACUUUGGCCAUGUUUGGGUAAAGCACGCAAGGGGCCAACCAUUAGGUGAUGACUAUUUGAUGCAAGAUGGAUAUCUCUUCAAAAAUGAUCGUUUGUGCAUUUCAAGAAGUUCUCUACGUGACAAGCUGGUUAGAGAGCUCCAUUCAAGUGAUCUUAGUGGCCAUGUUGGACGGGACAAGACUAUCGCUAGCCUGGAAGCUUGCUACUUUUGGCCACAACUAAAAAGAGAUGCUGGAAAGUUUGUUCAGCGAUGCCCAAUAUGUCAAACCUACAAAGGCCACCUUUGCCUGUUCGUGUCGCUCCAUGGGAGGACAUCUCUAUGGACUUUGUCUUGGGCUUGCCAAGAACAAGACGAGGAAGUGAUGCUAUAUUUGUGGUCGUGGAUAGACUCUCUAAGAUGGCUCAUUUCAUCCCAUGUCGCAAAACAAUGGAUUCUCAUCAUGUGGCAAACCUAUUCUUUCAAGAAGUGGUCAGACUUCAUGGAGUACCAAGGUCCAUCGUCUCAGACCGUGAUAGCAAGUUUCUUGCUGCAUUUUGGCUCACUUUGUGGAAGCAAUUCAACACUGAAUUGA
rnacentral:rRNA from 1 species